rnacentral:rRNA from 1 species
UACAUGAAGCUGGAAUCGCUAGUAAUCGCAGAUCAGAAUGCUGCGGUGAAUACGUUCCCGGGUCUUGUACACACCGCCCGUCACACCAUGGGAGUCGGGAAUGCCCGAAGUCAGUGACCCAACCGCAAGGAGGGAGCUGCCGAAGGCAGGCUCGAUAACUGGGGUGAAGUCGUAACAAGGUAAC